AGACUGGGCUCCCUACCUUGAUCGAGGUCACCUGGUAAAUAGAAGGUUGGAGACGCCGGCUGGCGCCCGGCCGGCCCUAAUCGAGCGGGUGACAAAGCCCCAUACGCUCGAGGACCGGACGCGGUGCCGCCGCUGCCUUUCGGGCCCGUCCCCCGGGGGGGACGACGACCCAACACACAAGCCGGGCUUGAAGGGCAGCAAUGACGCUCGGACAGGCAUGCCCCCCGGAAUGCCAGGGGGCGCAAUGUGCGUUCAAAGACUCGAUGAUUCACUGAAUUCUGCAAUUCACAUUACUUAUCGCAGUUCGCUGCGUUCUUCAUCGAUGCCGGAACCAAGAGAUCCAUUGUUGAAAGUUUUAAUAGGUUUGCUAUCAAGCUCAGACAACACUAAAGACAGGAGGUUCGGUGUGGUCUCCGGCGGCUACCCCCGGGGGGGCGCACCGGCCAAGGAGGGGAGGCCACCCCCGGCGGGCGGGAGGCUGGCGGGCCCGCCGAAGAAACGAGGUACGAUAGGCACGGGUGGGAGGUUGGGCCAUAAAAAGCCGGACUGCGCACGGAUCGGCCUCAGUCCCCCGUGGCAUACAGGACAACUUUGCUUCGCGGGGCCCCCGGGGGGGAGCCCCGGGGAACCCGAACUCUGUCUUUAGUGGUGUCUAAACCUUGAUAAGCAAAACUAUUAUAAACUUUUCACAAUGGGAAUCUCUUGGUUUCGGAUUUGAAUAAAAUAACCCAUCCAACUGCAAAUAAUUUAAUGUUGAAAUUAUCUAAAUUCAU
rnacentral:misc_RNA from 1 species